GUUUUGGCAGGAAAUGAGUUUUGCGGUUGUGGCACAAAAAAUUGUUUUUGCGGUUUUAGCGAGAACACUUGAUUUUAUAGUUUUGUCGGAAAAUUCGAUAUUAAAUUUUAGAAACCUAACUUUUUGUGACCAUUGAACCGACUGCAUCCACAUAGUCCAAAUCCAUUAACACCCAUUACCAAUUGAUCUUGUGAUUCUUGUCCAUUUAUAACCCACAUAGACAAAUGGCUGUCACCAAAAUAGACCCAUUUAUAUUACCUUGGUAAAGCUCAAUGUGGAUGAGUAAAUGACACAAGCAAACCUCUCCUCAACCUCUGUGAUCAGACCUCUUUUACAUCUUAUGGCAAAUGUAUUUUUUGGGCUGCUUAAUUCAAGUGAGAUAUCCCUCAAUCCCGUUGAGAACAAACACAUAUCUGAUGAGAUACAAUAAGACAAGAAGAAAUUGGGUUUCAAGUUAUUGUCAUAAAGACUGAACAAUGAAAUUGAUUCUGCAGAGUUAGAUGUUCUGUAAUAAGAAGCUUUAAACAUUAAAAGUGGAGAGGGGAUCACCUGCUAUGAAUUUGGGGUUGAUGAUUGUAGCGACGAUGACCCUAGACUCCACACCCAACCUCUCUGAUUUCUGGUGAAGAGCAUGGCGAGCCCAUCAAACAUUAAGGAGCGGUUUGAGUGAUGAGACUUGUCUAGUCCUAGAUGCUUGUUUAUAGGAGCAAGUUAUAGAAUGCGAAGGAUCAGGGAUUGGAGUAAUUAAGGUUAAGUAGUGGGACAUGGAUUUGGGAUCGUAAAUGUUAAUCUAAAUUAUAAAGUGGCAUUGAUGACCAUAGCAUAGACGUUGGUUUCUAGGGUAAAUAAGAAGACGACGAAGAAGUUCAGUUUUUUGUAGAUUGGUUCCUGUCACGAACACGGCCCAAAAACGAUGGGGAAAAUACAAGUACGCUUAAACUGAAACCUAAACUUCAGCAAAUGAUAGCAGGACAAGUGUCAUUUUUUCGAAAGAAAAUAUUUUUUUUACUUAUUAGUAUAGAUAAGUGAUACAUUUGAUAGUUUCGAAAUAUCUGAAUCCUAACUAAAAAUAUCUGAACCCGACCCGAAGUACAGAAAUACCCGAACGGGUGCUACACUUCCAUACCGAAAUACCCGAAAAUCCAAAAUACCCGACUCGAAUUCGAACGGGUAGCCGAACGCCCACCCCUAGUUUCGAACAUGACUGUAAACCAUAACUUAGAGAUUUUUUUUUAACACUUUUUUCAUUAAAAAGAAUGGGGAAUUGAGGACCAUACAAUAAUAGAACAGAGCAAAGGAUCAGCUCUAGUCUAGAAAUAUCACAUAGAUCUUAAGGCUACAGAAAGUGAUGCCUUAACCAAGAUAUAUAUCCUGCAGCAAUGUAAGAUUGAAGCCGAUCCUCUUGAAUUAUACCAUCAGCAAUAAGAAAAGCACCUUUGAUAUCACAGCGUUUCAGAAAUUGAACCCGCCAAUCCAAAAAAUCAUUAAGCUGAAGACAGAUCCUAACUGAAUAGAAUUUGAGAGAGAGCCAACACUACAAGAAAAAGGAGCUAUUGUUACGAUUUUUUGAAACUAGAUUUCUUAGUCACAUAUUUGUGACAUAACAUACACUGAUUUGUAACUGAUCUAUUAUGUCAAAAAAAGAGUAGCUAUUUAGUCACAAUAUUGUGACCGGUUAUAUCGUAACCAAAUUAUGUCGCAUUUAGUGACAUAAAUAUGACAAAAAUAAAUGAGACAAAAAAUGUGACAUAAUUGUAACUUUGUUUAUUGUUACCAUAGCGACAACUAUGUGACUAAAUGCUAUGACUCCGUUUAUGAAGAUAUAUAAACUAAAUGUUUGUGAUGGAUGCAUUGAAAAGGAUAACAAAUAAAAAAUGUCGUAACUUUUCAAGCGCAAAAUUAUUUGGGUGAUCUUGCAAGGUUUAUUUAUGUAGCUCAAGUUUUAACAAUGGUUUAUCCUGAGUUUUAAAAAGAAACCAUUGUUUAUCAUUUUUCUUUUGAGGUUGAAUAUGAAACUUUUCUAUACACUAUUCCCUAAACAUAAACACUAAAUUUAAAUUUACAUACAAAACAAUUAAUUUGAUCUUCUUAAAAUUUAGAAAUUAAUUCUUAAACUUUCAAUUCAAAUAUAUAUUUUUAAAAUUUAAACCAAUAUACUCCAAACACUUAAUCUCAAAUCCCCUAAGUUAAGUCCAAAUCUCAAAUCUAAACCCUAAACUACACCAAAUCCUAUAUCAUAAAUUUAAACUUCAAAUAUAAUAGUUUAAACUUAAAAUCUAAAUCUUUGACAUAAACUCAGAAUUUAUUCUUUUUUUUUGACAACUAUAAUAACUAAACUAAGAUAAAGGUCCUACCGACUCGGAAAGCCAAGCCGGUGGGGUGGAAUCAACAUAGAACACAGCUGAAGGGGAACUCCGAGCACCUCGUGCAAGCUUGUCCGCCACUAGAUUAGUUGCUCUUGGUAUAUGUUGAAUCUUGAAGGAAGGAAAGAAACUCUUACCAGAAUUUAUUCUCUUAAAAUCUUUAAUCCCAAGUUUUUAAACUUAAACUUUUAACCUUACAUAUACUUCAAACCAUAUAUUCAUACUUAACCUUAUAUCUUAAGACAUUAAGUCAUAUUACAUACUUCAAACUAUUUUUAAAUAUUUUCUAAAUUUUAAACUUAAACCUCAAACUCCAAAUCAUAUAUCAUAAAUUUCAUUUCUAAAUCUAUUUUUCAUUUCUAGAACUAUAUAACAUGUACUCUAAGUGAAGUAAACUUAUAAUUUUAAUAACUUUUUUUUAUCAACAAUAAAACUUAUAAUAAACAUAAAAACUAAAAAAAAUUAGAAAGUAAAAUUCUAUCCCUGUACGAAAAUGAGAUUAGAAACAAAAAUUCUAAAACAACUAACAUUAAAGAAUAAAAUGUAUUCUGUCAGUUGAGAAAAAAAGUAUAACAACUAAAAAAAUUCCUAUUGGCUGAUUCACAAACACAAGGAUCAAGCUUUUCACCGUCGGAUGAGAUUGGAUCCAAGGGACCAAAGUUAUUCCUUUUCUUCAGAUCUCCAUACAUAGCUUUCUUCACUGCUGGCCUCCGCAUCUCCUCUCUUCUCUUUCGUCAGAAGAUCUCUCCACCCUCGCAAGAUCUCUGCCUUCAUCGCUCUCCAUCUUCUCUACCACCUCCGUUAAUAGUCGUUUAUUAUAAAUUUUACUUCCAUCAUCUCUCUUCUGCGUGACUUUGAUUUUGGUGCAGGUUGAAGAAUUGAAUGAGUGGUAUCUCUGUCUUCCAUCAUUUGAUGUCACGCUCACCGUUCACCACCACUCCACGGAGGGUGGAGGAUGCAGAAAAAGCUUGAUGGUGGAGGAUGCAGAAGAAGCUUGAUGGUGGAGGAGACAAGACCAGCCGUGGUCGCAGUGGCUGUUGUGCGGCGGAGGCAAGGCCACACAUGGCGGCUGGAGGAGGCAAGGCGAGGCAGGCAUGGCCGCUUAUUUUUUUAGGGUUGAAUUUUUUUUAAUGAUUUGGUUUAGUUAUCUAAACCUAAUUUUAUUUUAAACCAAUUUCAUUUUGUAAACCGAGUUAUUUUUAUUUCGAUUUAUAGAGUAACCAAUUGAAACUGA